UACGUAGGGGGCAAGCGUUGUCCGGAAUCAUUGGGCGUAAAGCGCGCGUAGGUGGUCAUGUAAGUCCGCUGUGAAAGUCAAAGGCUCAACCUUUGAAAGCCGGUGGAUACUGCAUGACUAGAGUACGGAAGAGGCGAGUGGAAUUCCUGGUGUAGCGGUGGAAUGCGCAGAUAUCAGGAGGAACACCAAUAGCGAAGGCAGCUCGCUGGGACGUUACUGACACUGAGGCGCGAAAGCGUGGGGAGCGAACAGG
rnacentral:rRNA from 1 species